rnacentral:rRNA from 1 species
AUGGUGCACGCCGACGAAACCACACACAUCCUCCUCGUCCCGUACCCGGCCCAGGGCCACCUCAACCCGAUCCUCCAGUUCGGCAAGCGGCUCGCCGGCCACGGCGGCGUCCGGUGCACCGUCGCGGCGACCAAGUUCGUCGUCGGCUCCACGAAGCCGUCCCCGGGCUCGGUGCACGUCGCCGUUUUCUCCGACGGCUGCGACGCCGGCGGGCCCGCUGAGCUGGGCGGGCACAAGGGCCCCUACUUCGAGCAGCUGGAGUCGGCCGGGUCCGAGGCGCUGGACGAGCUCCUCCGGACCGAGGCGGCGAGUGGCCGCCCAGUGCGCGUGGUGGUGUACGACACGUUCAUGCCGUGGGUGGCGCCCCUGGCGCGGCGGUACGGGGCGGCGUGCGCGGCGGUGCUCACCCAGACGUGCACCGUGGACGUCGUGUACACGCACGCACGGGCCGGGCGCGUGCCGGUGCCGGUGCGCAAGGGGGACUCCCCACUCGAGCUCCCUGGACUGUCGUGCCGGCUCGGCGCCGCCGACGUGCCGACGUUCCUGACCGACUCCGACGCGCACCACCCGUCCCUACGCGACAUGCUAAUGAACCAGUUCGCCGGGCUCGGCGCCGUGGAUCACGUGUUCGUCAACUCCUUCUUCGACCUGGAGCCUCAGGAAGCCGAGUACCUGGCGUCGACGCUGGGGGCCAGGACGAUCGGGCCGACGGUGCCGUCGGCGUACCUGGACGACCGCCUGCCCGACGACGCGUCCUACGGCUUCCACCUGCACACCCCGAUGACGGCCGUGACCAAGGCGUGGCUGGACGCGCGCCCGCCGCGCUCCGUCGUGUACGCCUCCUUCGGCAGCAUCGUGGCGCCGGGGCCGGACCAGAUGGCCGAGGUGGCCGAGGGCCUCCGCAACGCCGGCAGCCAAUUCCUGUGGGUGGUGCGCGCCACGGAGACGGCCAAGCUGCCCGAGGGCUUCGCGGCGAGGGCGGCGGCGCGGGGGGACCUGAUCGUGCCGUGGUGCCCGCAGCUGGAGGUGCUGGCGCACGGCGCCGUGGGGUGCUUCGUGACGCACUGCGGGUGGAACUCCACCGUGGAGGCGCUGAGCGCCGGCGUGCCGAUGGUGGCGGUGCCGCAGUGGUCGGACCAGCCGACCAACGCCAAGUACAUCGAGGACGUGUGGCGCGUUGGCGUGCGCGCGCGGCCGGACGCCGGCGGGCUGGUGAGGAAGGGGGAGGUGGAGAGAUGCAUCAAGGAGGUGAUGGGCGGCAAGGAGUACAAGAGGAGGGCGUCGGAGUGGCGGGAGAAGGCCAAGGCCGCCGUGAGCGAGGGCGGCACCUCCGACCGCAACAUCGCCGAUUUCCUCUCGAAAUAUCGCGUGGCAAAAUGA